rnacentral:miRNA from 1 species
CCAGGGCAAGGAUGACAGAGAGGAAGACAGGGGCUUCCAGGACAAGGAGUCGCAACUCUCUGUAACCUGGAUUCUGCAGGUCUCCUCAUGUGUCUGGGCCCUGU